GAUGAACGCUGGCGGCGUGCCUAAUACAUGCAAGUCGAGCGAACGGACGAGAAGCUUGCUUCUCUGAUGUUAGCGGCGGACGGGUGAGUAACACGUGGAUAACCUACCUAUAAGACUGGGAUAACUUCGGGAAACCGGAGCUAAUACCGGAUAAUAUUUUGAACCGCAUGGUUCAAAAGUGAAAGACGGUCUUGCUGUCACUUAUAGAUGGAUCCGCGCUGCAUUAGCUAGUUGGUAAGGUAACGGCUUUCCAAGGCAACGAUGCAUAGCCGACCUGAGAGGGUGAUCGGCCACACUGGAACUGAGACACGGUCCAGACUCCUACGGGAGGCAGCAGUAGGGAAUCUUCCGCAAUGGGCGAAAGCCUGACGGAGCAACGCCGCGUGAGUGAUGAAGGUCUUCGGAUCGUAAAACUCUGUUAUUAGGGAAGAACAUACGUGUAAGUAACUGUGCACAUCUUGACGGUACCUAAUCAGAAAGCCACGGCUAACUACGUG
rnacentral:rRNA from 1 species